GUUCAGAUGCUGAGUCUCCUCCGGGUCUCCCGCAGCGGCACCUGAGAUUCUCAGUUUCCCCUUGCUGCUGGUCCCGGGAGCACACGCCAAUCAAACGGUUCUCUGAUCUCUGCCUUUUUACUUAGAGACAGAAAAAAAAAAGCCCAGAGCAGAGAGAAGGGAAAAUGAAGUGAACGGAAUAUGCAAGCGAGCUGGGCAAGAGAGAAUGAGGCACAGCUAUCCCGAGGCCGGCAGGGUAACUCCGUUCACCACUUUCGGGCCAGGUGACAGUCCUGGAGCUUGCUCCCUAAUGACAAUGCACUCUUCAGAAUUCACAGAGCCCAUGGGCCACCAAGACGCUCAGUGGGAGCUCUGGUCCAGCAAGCCUGAGAGUCCAGUCUUAAUCCCUGCAGCCCACAGAUGGACUGCUUCCUGGAAACUGUCCUCUGACCUGUGCGUGUGAGCUGUGGUGCACGCGAACGCAUACAUGAGUGUGCGCACGCCAAACACACACACAAAUACAAUCACGUUAACAUACACACAAGCACCACAAACACAAAAAAAUACAGUCACAUAAACAUACACACACAAACCACAAAUAUACACAGACACACCACAAACACACACACACACACACACACACACAAAUACAAUCACAUAAACAUACACACAUGCACCACAAACACACAAAAAUAGUCAUAUAAACAUACACACACAAACCACAAAUAUACACAGACACACCACAAAUACACACACAUGCACCACAAACACACAAAAAUACAAUCAUAUAAAUACACACACAAACCACAAAUAUACACAGACACACCACAAAUACACACACAUGCACCACAAACACACAAAAAUACAAUCAUAUAAACAUACACACACACACACACACACACACACACACACACACCCCUCACCACAAACGCACACCAAAUAAACAUCAAAGCCUUGUCAAUUAGGAUGCCGCUCCCCGAAAGGUGGAGUACUGAUUGACCUAAGCCUCAUAAACGCUCCUAGUGCAGGAUAUUACACAACAGAAUUGGAUUAAAAAACAAAAACAAAAACGCAGUCUAUGCUUACUCAUGAGGUCUUGUCGCCACCUAGUGGCUCAUUUGUUCAUUGCAACUUUUACCGGGCCUCCAAGUUUAAAUACUUUAAACACUCUGAUCGAUUAAUGUUUCAAUUCAACAAAACUGUAUUAGACAGAAGCUGGGCUGAAACAUUAAUAAAAGACCUGGCCUCACCUUCCUGAGGCCGAUGUGUAAGUGUUAGGCAAGUACACAAUGCAAUCAUUAAUUAUUGCCCAGUGCGAUGUCACCAGGAAAUAAAACUAUCGUGGGCUGGAGGGUGAUGUGGACAGAGGAGUGGCUUUGGUUUUGUGUUUUGAGACAGGAUCUCACCAAGAAGCUCGGGAAAAUCUUGAUCCCUUCAUCCCAAGUGCUGCAGGGUCUCAGUCAGGAAUUCGGGUGACAGGUCUGUGUGUGGUUGGCUGCCCUUCACUGACAACCACACCUCUGGCGAAUUGCAAAUUGCAUCAGAACCUCUUCUUAAAGGUCAGAACUGUGGUUUUUAACCCAGGGCCUCUUAGUCGUGCCUCAGUCCAGGACAGAGGUUCUCAAUCUUCCUAAUGGGACCUUUACCACGGUUCCUCGCGAUGUGGUGACCCCACUCAAACAUAAAAUUAUUUCGUUGCUACUUCAUAACUAAUUUUGCUACAGCUGUGAAUUGUGAUCUAAAUAUCUGAAGUGCGGGAUGUCUGAUAUUUCCACCCACGGGUAGAGAAACACUGGUCCAGGCCGUAGCCCUGACCAGUUAAAUUUGCAUCCCUAGAAGUGGACACUGUGCUUUCAAAGUUUUCCAGGUGACUCGGCGUACAGCCGAAGCUGAGAGCAUCAAAACGAAGCCCUUGGUGCUCCGGAACGGUGGAGUCACAAGAGUCAUGAGCCAGGCUGGCUUUUGUUUGUUUGGGUUCCUGCUUCAUGGAAGAGUCUGCCAGACAUUCUGCAGGACACAGAGAAAAAUGACUGACAAACUGCCAACACAGGUGGACAGUUUAAAACUUCCUGCUUGGCUGAGAGGUCUGCCAGACGCACUAUGGCCUAUGGACUGAAGAUGGAUACCCCAACAUUUCAGAAGAAUCUUGGGUGACUGUCCAGGCAGCCAGCUGUUUCUGUCAUUUCUCACAUUUUUUGGAAGUCUCUUGCUCAAACCUCCUGUUUGCACAGUUAAUAUUAUUUCCUUCUUGGGUCUCUGAGGGAGUUGGAGACUAAGAUAGUAUAGUUAUAGUUUCCCUGUUUACCAGAAUCACUAAAGAAACUCACUAUAGAUAUGUUAAUCGUAAUAGGUUUAAAAGACGUAAGAUAAUUUGAUAUGCAAAUUAGAAUAGAAAGUUAAUAGAGUAUUUUCUCGGAAUUUGUCAUAUGCCUAUGGAUUAGACAUUGCUAACGUAUCUAUUGCCAUGUAUAUAUUGUAUAUAGUUAUUGUACUUAUUGUACAUAGUUUUUCUCAUAUUAGUUAUAACCUUUUAUUUUAAUUUUAUACAAAAAAUAUGUGGUGACAUCUUUCUUGCACAAAUAAAGCCUGUCUGGGGGUCAGAGAAUGGAGCUUGCCACUAGCUAACCAUAGAGGUCUGGAGGUCCGGACAGACAGACAGGAAGUGACGUAGCUGGGCAGAAACAGGAUAUCAGCAGGGAGAAACAGGAAAUCACGCUCUUCUCUGCUGAGACGCUGAGGAGGUAAGGUGUGCUGUGGUUUGCUCCUCCUCUCUGAUCUCUCAGCAUUUCCCUCUAUAUCUGACUCCAGCUUUUAUGAUCUAGACCAAUUAAGAAACUCCUUUUACAGGCCGGGCGUUGGUGGCACACUCCUUUAAUCCCAGUACUCAGGAAACAGAGGCAGGCGGAUCUCUGUGAGUUCAAGGCCAGCCUGGUCUACAAGAGCUAGUUCCAGGACGGCCUCCAAAGCUACACAGAGAACUCCAUUUACACUUAG
rnacentral:lncRNA from 1 species